GGAUGUGGGGGUGAUCUGCCUGAGACAACCGUCACUCACUGACCUCUUGGCAAUGAGUCACUGAUCUGGCCGGCUGGAGGGGUAGCUGCCUUGGUCUUCACAGCUCCAUGUGCAUCCACCUUGAGCUAUUCAUUCAAUUAAGGGGGAUCUGAGUUCUUCAGCCGAGAAAAUGGGACUCUUACUUCUUUG
rnacentral:snRNA from 1 species